rfam:Bifidobacterium actinocoloniiforme DSM 22766 Contig1, whole genome shotgun sequence.
UUGUUGGAGGGUUUGAUUCUGGCUCAGGAUGAACGCUGGCGGCGUGCUUAACACAUGCAAGUCGAACGGGAUCCAAGCAGCUUGCUGUUUGGUGAGAGUGGCGAACGGGUGAGUAAUGCGUGACUAACCUGCCCUGUACUUUGGAAUAGCUCCUGGAAACGGGUGGUAAUGCCGAAUGCUCCGCGCUAUCGCAUGGUGGCGUGGGAAAGGGUUUCUGGUAUGGGAUGGGGUCGCGUCCUAUCAGCUUGUUGGUGGGGUGAUGGCCUACC